UACAGAGGUCUCAAGCGUUGUUCGGAUUCAUUGGGCGUAAAGGGUGUGUAGGUGGCGCGCUAAGUCGGGUGUGAAAUUUCGGAGCUUAACUCCGAAACUGCAUUCGAUACUGCCGUGCUUGAAGACUGGAGAGGAGACUGGAAUUUACGGUGUAGCGGUGAAAUGCGUAGAUAUCGUAAGGAAGACCAGUGGCGAAGGCGGGUCUCUGGACAGUUCCUGACGCUGAGGCACGAAGGCCAGGGGAGCAAACGGG
rnacentral:rRNA from 1 species